UUUAAAUACCGGUUGCCAAUCAGGGUACCAGGGCGUUUAAACCUUGGCCUUCCCGAGAGACGUAAACUGGUAUGGGGUUUGGAAGUAUUUUGAGCCCCGACUCUGAGGGAGUCGGCAACUAUGGGUCGUUGGCAAGGGCUCGCUAAGGAAGUGAUUCAAGUAGUUAAUGAAGAAAAAUUGAGCCCCUACUCUGGGGAGUUGACGACUAUGGGUACUGUUAAGAACGUAGUUUCUGCUCGAGAACACGGGAGACGCCGCCAAGCAGCCGUUGACCGUCCAUCUGCAACUCUGGUGCGCCGAUCAAACCUAAGUUGAUGAAACCUGUAACUGCUGGUGACCCAAGCAAUAUCUGAAUCAAUCCGUUGUUAAAUGUUGAAUGAGUACAAGAAUCACACAGCAUAAAAUCUUCCACCAUGUCAAUUUUUAGGUUUAGCAAUGGCGAUUGUACUGGGACCCUCUUCCAGUUUUCGCCCUCGCCAACGUCUUCAUCCAGAUGGUGGUCGCUGUAUCCUCCUAACUGGUGGAACACUUUGUCGGUUUUCGCCUCACUCUUUAAGAUGGGAUAAGCCAUACGCUUGCCAUCGCUGUGGGCAACAAGCGAGCGUUUAUGGCACGCCAUCUCUUACUGUCUCUCAGAAAACAAAACCCUAUUUACAUGCACAACAAACUGCACAAAUAACAAACCCACAAACAAUGGGCAAUUGGAUGUGCUCGAUUGGGCGAAAUGACUUCAUACGUCAAACCCAAAAGAGUUCAAAAACCGAUCAGAAAUUGUUUAGGGAUGGCCUUCUUCUAGAACCUUUUUUGCGCUCUUCUACUCGGUGUGUUAUAAGUGGGGGAUGUGACGCGCUUGGGCCCACGAUGUCGGUAACCGAACGGGAACGAACGGGAACAACCACAGGAGUUGCACAUAUGCAGAGUGUAUUAGAAAUCGGAGCAAUGUUUCAACAUUUUGGGGCCUUGGCAGGCAAUGCACCGUAUCUUUUCUUGAUGACCUUCGACACACAGUAUGAUGGCCGAGUUUGCCAUAUUACAUAACAGAUAUAAGACAACUACCGCUGCAUUAGUGAGGACAGGCAGUUCCGGUCCGACUUCCACAGCAUCGAUCGAUGUGAUACGAUGGUGACCACCCGAUUAUUGUAUGACCACACAAAAGGCGCACGCUCUUUCUCCGGAUCAAGCGGCGAUUUCCUUCGCGUGCGGCAACAACGAAUGGGAGCGACACGAGCGCCUAUGGACGAAGCAAAAAUCGUCCGUUAAUAUUUCAGUGGAUUGCGCGGCAGGGCAAGACGAUGCUUGAGAAAAGCAGCACAGAAAUUCGGCUGGAUUCGUCGAUCCUUCAAACGACGAGGUCUCGACCUCGACUACGGGACCAAUGAACCAAUAGAGUCCAAUGUACCCAGCUUUAAUACCAUCCGACUAAAGCGGAAAGCACCGGCGCGGUAACAUAAAGGGAACGAUGCGAUUGCAAACUACUUCGACACGCCGCGCUCAGUCGGUGGAUUCGUCAAUCGCGUAUUUAUUGUCUCUGAUAGAGCUGGAAACUCCGACGCUGGUUGGUGGAGUCAGAGAACGACCUACGACAACGAGAACACCUCGGCGCAGUGGCUGCGCGAGAUCGUCUUGCGGCCACAGAAAGUAAACGCGCGAAAGAAGAGCGCAUUCGGGGAAGGUGCGCGACAAGAGAGAGCAGCUCGACCGGCAAGAAGUGGCGAAGAUUUAUCUAUUUUGGCCUCCCGUUAUUAUGACAUGGCCAGAUUCACAAAGUUUCUCCAAUUCACUCCGUUCCUGGCUAAAAGGAAACUUAAAUAGAUGGCAAUUUAAACAGAACACAGGAAAACAUAACAUAGUACAACCGAACCACAGAAAAGGAAAUCAUGUGUUUCAAGCAAGAUAGGGCCACCAGCGCAAGAAAAACUUACAGAGAGAACAAUUUAGAAGACAACUUCAUUUGGGCAACCCACAUAGCAGCGAUCCCAACAUUAGUUCUGUUUCAUUGGGUUAUAGGUAAGCAGGAAAAAACACAUGCAAAGAAAACAGAAACCAUCGUAAAAGCCCGUAUAGGUUCUUCCUUUAACCGAAUGUUUGCCAAUACAAUACAUGAUACAAAUUCUCCACUGUGCGCUGGCCAGAAAAGACAGCGACGUACGAAAGUGUGGAGAUGCAGGAGAGGUUCAACGCACUUAUGUAAAAAUGAUCGAUUAAAAUAGAACAAUGUAGAU